rnacentral:rRNA from 1 species
AGACGUCUACAUUAGAUACCCGGGUAGUCCCAGCCGUAAACUAUGCGCGUUAGGUGUAUCGGUGACCACGAGUUACCGAGGUGCCGAAGGGAAACCGUGAAACGUGCCGCCUGGGAAGUACGGUCGCAAGGCUGAAACUUAAAGGAAUUGGCGGGGGAGCACCACAACAGGUGGAGCCUGCGGUUUAAUUGGACUCAACGCCGGGAAGCUCACCGGAUAGGACAGCAGAAUGAUUGCCGGGCUGAAGACUCUGCAUGACUAGCUG